rnacentral:rRNA from 1 species
GAUGAACGCUGGCGGCGUGCUUAACACAUGCAAGUCGAACGGUGAAGCAGGAGCUUGCUCUUGUGGAUCAGUGGCGAACGGGUGAGUAACACGUGAGCAACCUGCCCCUGACUCUGGGAUAAGCGCUGGAAACGGCGUCUAAUACUGGAUAUGUGAUGUGACCGCAUGGUCUGCAUCUGGAAAGAAUUUCGGUUGGGGAUAGGCCCGCGGCCUAUCAGCUUGUUGGUGAGGUAAUGGCUCACCAAGGCGUCGACGGGUAGCCGGCCUGAGAGGGUGACCGGCCACACUGGGACUGAGACACGGCCCAGACUCCUACGGGAGGCAGCAGUGGGGAAUAUUGCACAAUGGGCGGAAGCCUGAUGCAGCAACGCCGCGUGAGGGAAGACGGCCUUCGGGUUGUAAACUUCUUUUAGCAGGGAAGAAGCGAAAGUGACGGUACCUGCAGAAAAAGCACCGGCUAACUACGUGCCAGCAGCCGCAGUAA